rnacentral:rRNA from 1 species
UACGGAGGGUGCAAGCGUUAAUCGGAAUUACUGGGCGUAAAGCGCACGCAGGUGGCUGAGUCAGUCGAUUGUGAAAGCCCUGGGCUUAACCUGGGAAUUGCAGUCGAUACUACUCAGCUAGAGUAUGGGAGAGGGUAGUGGAAUUCCCGGUGUAGCGGUGAAAUGCGUAGAUAUCGGGAGAAACAUCAGUGGCGAAGGCGGCUACCUGGCCCAAUACUGACACUCAGGUGCGACAGCGUGGGGAGCAAACAGG